rnacentral:rRNA from 1 species
GACGAACGCUGGCGGCGUGCUUAACACAUGCAAGUCGAACGGAAAGGCCCUGCUUUUGUGGGGUGCUCGAGUGGCGAACGGGUGAGUAACACGUGAGUAACCUGCCCUUGACUUUGGGAUAACUUCAGGAAACUGGGGCUAAUACCGGAUAGGAGCUCCUGCUGCAUGGUGGGGGUUGGAAAGUUUCGGCGGUUGGGGAUGGACUCGCGGCUUAUCAGCUUGUUGGUGGGGUAGUGGCUUACCAAGGCUUUGACGGGUAGCCGGCCUGAGAGGGUGACCGGCCACAUUGGGACUGAUAUCCGGCCCAGACUCCUACGGGAGGCAGCAGUGGGGAAUAUUGCACAAUGGGCGGAGGCCUGAUGCAGCACCGCCGCGUGCGGGAUGGCGGCCUUCGGGUUGUAAACCGCUUUCGCCUGUGACGAAGCGUGAGUGACGGUAAUGGGUAAAGAAGCCCCGGCUAACUACG